rnacentral:rRNA from 1 species
CCUACGGGAGGCAGCAGUGAGGAAUAUUGGUCAAUGGGCGCGAGCCUGAACCAGCCAAAUCGCGUGAGGGAAGACGGUCCUAUGGAUUGUAAACCUCUUUUGUCGGGGAGCAAAAGACGCCACGCGUGGCGUUCCGAGAGUACCCGAAGAAAAAGCAUCGGCUAACUCCGUGCCAGCAGCCGCGGUAAUACGGAGGAUGCGAGCGUUAUCCGGAUUUAUUGGGUUUAAAGGGUGCGCAGGCGGAAGGUCAAGUCAGCGGUAAAAUUGAGAGGCUCAACCUCUUCGAGCCGUUGAAACUGGUUGUCUUGAGUGAGCGAGAAGUAUGCGGAAUGCGUGGUGUAGCGGUGAAAUGCAUAGAUAUCACGCAGAACUCCGAUUGCGAAGGCAGCAUACCGGCGCUCAACUGACGCUCAUGCACGAAAGUGUGGGUAUCGAACAGGAUUAGAUACCCCAGUAGUC